CACAUCUUUCUACCUGGCA
rnacentral:misc_RNA from 1 species